CCUACGGGAGGCAGCAGUAGGGAAUCUUCCACAAUGGGCGAAAGCCUGAUGGAGCAAUGCCGCGUGAGUGAAGAAGGUUUUCGGAUCGUAAAACUCUGUUGUUGAAGAAGAACAUGCGUGAGAGUAACUGUUCACGUACUGACGGUAUUCAACCAGAAAGCCACGGCUAACUACGUGCCAGCAGCCGCGGUAAUACGUAGGUGGCAAGCGUUGUCCGGAUUUAUUGGGCGUAAAGAGAAUGUAGGCGGUUUAUUAAGUUU
rnacentral:rRNA from 1 species